GCCUGGUGGCUCGGACCAGCAGCUGCCCUCCGGCGUAUUUUGCAAACAUCAGUGUCAAGGCGGACAGGUACCUGCCCCAGGGAGAGGGCGGCGGUGGCCAGGGGUGGAUGCGCGACAGGGUGCGGAGGUCAGGGUGUGUGUGUGCACGUGAGUGAGAGCGGGCACGGGUGCAUCUCUGUGCCCGUGUGCACGCUCACCCGGGUGCGCCUGGGUGCCAGCUCCGGGGAGGGAAGGUGGGCCACAGAGGGCCAGAGACCCCCGUGCGCAACGCACCACGUAUCCGAGUCAAGUCGUGCAGCCUUUGCGAUGUCCCCACAUCUGCACCAUCGCGAUCUCCAGGUCGCUGAAGCACCAGGAGGCUCCCCGGGGGAGGGGCUCGCCCAGGGCCUCGCAGCUGCUGGACGGGACACACGCCGAACCCUGCCUUCUGUCCCGCGCAUGCAAGCGCCCCCGGCUGAGGCCGCCUGACUUUAGUGCCAGUCGUUUGCAGGACUGAAAAGGUAUCCGUGCCCACGACAGAGACCCCGGUUCUAAUCCCAGCCGUGCCCCUUUCGGGCGAGUGACCCGGGCGCCUAUCCCGCCCCUCUGAGCCUCCGCCUCUGCAGCUGCGCGGCCGGAUGGCGUUUUCUCCCUGCGAGGGCAGCGACGUCGCCGGUUGGUGCGUGAAGGACAACUGGGACACGUGCGGCUCGGUGGCAUCUCUGGCGCUGUGCCGGCCACACUCGAGGCGGUUAGUCACUCUUCUUGAGUUUGCGUGUGUCUCUUAGCAACUGAUGUGCCUUCUUCCCUGGGCGUAUCUGCAAGGUGACAGUGGAUGAAUUGUUCCCAACCUUGGUCUUUCUCAUUCCAUGAAAGCUGCUCUAAUUGCGCCCACACACCCGCCAGAGCGCCCCUCGGUGCCGUCCUUAGCGACGGAGGAUGGAGUGGGUUUCUUCUCCGCUGACAUUUGGGGCUGGAUGGCUUCUGGUGGGAGGGUCUGUGCUAUGCAUUAUGGGAUUUGGAACAGCAAUCCCCGUACCUAAUUAUUGGAUGCUAUUAGUAUUCCCAGUUGGACAGAGUCAAAUGUGCCCUGGGCAGGGGACAACAUGCCCUGUUGAGAAUCACUAAUUCACUGUAAGUGGUCUGUCCCAGACACCAUCUGGCAUUGCAGUUCGGAGCAUGGGUCCCAGAUGCAAAUGGCCUGGGUUUGGAUGCUGGCUCUAUGCUUAACUGCUGUGUGACUUGAGACAAGUCACUUAACCUCUCUGAGCCACAGGUGCUUCAUCUGUGUAAUGGGAAUGGGAGAGCAUUUGCUUGAUAGGAUGAGGGCAAAAUGAGAAGAAAGCACUGUUUCUGGGAACUGGGAGACAGGGAUCAGGAGGGUCUCCAUCUGGGCAAAGGUGAGGAGGGACCCACAGGGUUUGAUUGGUCUUGUCACCUUGUUCCUGCCACUGGGAGAAAGGUGGACUCAUCUGUGCCUGUGCUUCAUUUCCCAAGUGCCUCCCUUGCAGCCUGUGUGCGGAGGUUAAUGAGCCAUUCAGUUCCGGUGAAUUGCAAAGCUCCCCUGGAUCAGCCAACACCUGCUGUGCCUGAUUGAUGGUAGCCCUGCGGCCAGAGAGGACCACAAGCCAGAACCAGGGCAAUCAAUUAGUCCCAGGUCCCAAGAAAGACUCUGUCCUCUUCUCUCCUGCCUGAAACAGAAAAGGCCGGGCUUUCUGGUUUGUCUCACACGCCUUCCCCACGUCCGAACUAUCUCAGAGCCAAGUGUCGGAUCUGGGGUUGGAAAAGCUGGUGCUGACUGGUUGCUUUUUGCUGGGAGUUGAAAGCGUUUGACCUGCUUUAAUCCCAGCUCUUUGAAGGGAGCGUGAUUAUUGUCCCCCUUUUACAUUAGAAGAAACUGAAGUUCUGAGAGGAGAGCCGGGUCACACCCUGGUCUAAGUGACGGCUGAAAGUCAAUUGUUGCUGCUGGGGACUUCCGCUCCUCGGAACCUCAGUUUCCACUUCUGUGAAAUGGGGCGACUCAGACACCCAGCCCCUGUGUGAUGAGGACGUGGAGGCUCAGAGAAGCUAAGCAACCUGCCCGCAGCCACACAGCUUACACGUGGUCACUCCAGUGGCGGAGGGCAGGACCUCGAGGACCGGGAGAGGUCCAGCACUUCGAGAGCGACCAACCCGGCGAGUCAUGCGGUCAGUCCGUGGAGUGGACCCCGGAGAAAGGCCAAAGGGUCGGUGACGGACCAAGAGCCACAGGCUGUAGCAAGAAAAGUCCAGGAUACUCUGAAAGAAGAGCGGACGCUGAGACAGUCAGGGAGACCGUGAUGCGCAGCAGGCACUGGCUCCAGAAUUGUACGUGGAGUCAAGACCAAGCAGGCUCUGAACUUCGGAAUGGGGGAAGACUUUGCAUGGCUCAUCACCAAAUGCCCAGGGUGAAUGGAGUAGGUGCUCAGUAAACCACCCACCCAAUGAGUGGCUGUGGAAGAAAGUGCGCUCCUGGGGCGUUCUGUGCCAACCGACAUCGCUGGCAUCCCGAUGGGACGCAAGGGCCCUACUCCACCAGGACUAGCACACGGCCGCUGCCGGGGAGGGAACUCUCUGGCUUCGGUAGGCCCGCAGACUUUCAAAUCUAAGAAGCCGUGAUGUAAAUAGAUGUCGGCACCAACGACGGCUGCUGGCUCCGCGGCAGGAGAGAGCUGUGCUUCCGACUCAUCGUAAGUGAGGUCUGUGUGACAUUCUCUGGCUUCCCAGAUGCCCGGGCUGAACUACGGAACUUUUACAAACUGCCUCAAUACAGAACGACCCUCCUGGCUCCCCCGCCCACCUCAGGGGCCCCAUGUGUCGGCCCUCCCUGCCCAGCGGUUACCUGGCUGGGGUGCAGUUCAGGCCUUGCCGAGAAACCCUCCCAGAGAAUCGUGAUUCUUCCUAAGCUGCAGGCAGAUUGCCACGUAGCCUCGGACACCAGGGCCCCACGACAAAACCCUUCUUCCUGCAUCUUCCAGGUUCCCUGACUGAAAGGCCCUGACAGACAGACGGCGAAUGAAUGAUAACUGUGUUUCUGAAAAUUUCCAAGUUUAAACCAGCCUCUGCCUCCUGGAAGGGACCUGGCCUGUGGUAUUGACCUCCUUUCUCUGGGCCUCAGAGACAGUCAUGCAUGUCCACCUUGAGUGGCAACUCUAAUGCUCUACAGUUGCAUCUGGGAUCUGCGGGGAGAGGUGCUGGGAUCGAUUAGCAAUGUCUGCCAAGAGCAGAGGAGUCGGCGGUGUGGCAGACGUGCUGUAUAUUUGCCCUCUUUGGACUAGAUCUUCAUCCAUCUAGAUCUUUUAGAUAUAGAUCUUUCUGGAUCUUUGUCUCAGUAGCCUGAUGGGAGAUAAAAGUUCCAGGGGCUGAUCGU